AAGACAUCGAAGAAGAAGCUCAGAGCUGUAUGUUAAAUUAUCUACAGCUGUUCAGCAUGAUUCCUCCUCAAAGCGAAUCCACAGAGGUAAAUAUGCCACUUUUCAAUGAUGCACCUUUACCAGACAUCAAAUUAUACUUGUUGACUUUGACAAGGGAUGUUUGUUCAUAUAUGAGGUGGCAUUUCCUCUGUGUUUUAAGGAGCGUUUGCUUAUGCAUUUGGUCUUUGUACAAGAUGUGGUUGACCAGAUUCAGCCUGAUACAACUUGGCUCAGUUGUGAUCGAUAUGGUUUCAUUGAUUGCAGUGUACAGACAACAUUGCUGCUCAGAAAAUCAGUGUAUCCUCUUUACAUUCAUAUUAUGGCUGUGUAAGGCUGGUUUCACCAUUGUUACCUUAGCUGAAGAGGGCACAGUUUUUAGUUUAGAAAGUCUCACUACAGCUGUGCUGCUGACAUCAGCCAUAAUUGACAUGAUUUCAGAUAUCAGAAGAGUCUGUACAAUAAAAGCUAACAAUAUCAUGACCGACAUACAAGGACCAGUUCACCACUGCCAAACUGUGGCAUGUACAAUAGAGGAAGAUGCGGAAGCCAGUGGCUAAAACAGAAAUCGAUACCCUGAGAGGAGUCUGGCUGUGCAGUGCAAUCUUGGCUGCAUCCAAUACUUUUUCUUGGUGUGACCUAACCCCACCCCUAAUCCUAUCACUCACAUUGACGUCAGUAGCUCCAUUGAAUGCAUUGUGUCUGACUUUGCUUCAUAAAGGCUGUAUCCACAUAAUAAUAGGCACACCGUAGGAAAAUCCAACUCAACACCACUGCAUAAUAAAUUCAGCAGACCCAUGAACCUGGUUUACACCCAAUUUGUGAGCCCGAAGAAGUGCCAUGACUUAAGGAUGUGAAAUUUGGAUACCAGUCCAACUUAUUUGCUAUUAGGCCAUGGCUUGCUUGCUUAUUCCAAAUUGUUUUAAUAAAAAACUUUUACUUAUAUUCUUUGUUGGGUUUUUAUUUACUCAAAUUAUUGUGACACCAAAAAAAAAAUGAUAAAAGUAACCCUAUAUUAACUCUCAAUUCCUUGUACAGGCAAGCAAUAUAUUCUAUUUCACCAGUUUAGUAUUGUAAUUUCUAACUGUGCUAUAAAAGGCUAUAAUGUUUUCUCUCUGGUGAAUGUUGUAUAGUAGUGAUGCUGUGUGCAUAUGUAAUAAAAAGUCGUGGUGACAAAGAGGGUCAGAUCCAAAUGCAGCUUAUUAAAGUUUAAUCAGGCUGGUGACGUUUAAAACAAACUGGAGCAUAUGAGUAAUAAAAAAUUGUGGUCAGAAUAACAGGCUGAAUGGUGGGGACAGGAGGCAAAAACAUCAGGCACAAUAAACAAAACUAGGGUCAAAAACACGGAAAGGUAAGAUGAGGAAAAUGCGUCGUAAUGCUAACAAAACAAAACAAGACUCAGUGUAGGGAAUUUAAAGAUUUGCAGGGAGGAACAGGCUUUCAGUGCUGUCAAUAAACAAAAUAAAAAACACAUUUAGGGCUUCUCUGCAGUAUAUAUCAAUGUCAAAUAGAUGUUCAAUAUUCUCACAUCGUCUGUUCUUUUGUUUUUAUAUCAAAUUCUUUAACGAGUGCCGAAGAUGACUGAGGAUGCUGAGGUGGCGCUCUGCUAUCCAGCUGCUUACGUUGUCUGUGACUGGCUGACGUCAACAGAGACCUAGACUACGCAUCUAAAACUAAACUAAUACUAAGAAUUAAUCAAAACAUACCGGCGAGUGCUUUAACCUACAGCAUAAAGAAGAAAUGCCUGUUCGCUUCUGUUCAUAUAAAGCUUAACUGGAAUCAGAAGACCAGGGAAAUUUGGAGACAGUCAAUGCUUCAGUUCAGCCUAAUCAGGCUCUCGGGUCCGUGCCGAACAGGAAAAAGCAAGGGAUUAUCGUAAAAGACGGAGAAAAAGAGAGGGAUCAAAUAGAAAAGGACUUGCAAAGGAAAAGCAGUGUUUCUGAUCAAGAUCAAAUCUCAGAAAUGUUCUUAGUGAAAUUAUACUACCUCCAAUACACAUGAGCUGCUAUUAAUUAUAUAAAAAACACUGCAUUUAAGCAUUAAUGAAGACACGAUGUUCAUACUGUUUGGCUAGAGGAGAACUGGUCCCCUGACUGAGUCUGGUUUCUCCCAAGGUUUUUUCUCCACUGUUUUUAUCUGGUGGAGUUUGGGUUCCUUGCCACUGUCGCCUUCUGGCUUGCUCAGUUGGGGUUUAAUAUUCAGUAUGAUCAGGGUUUGAAAUGAACUUGUCUCUCACUGGCCAAUUUGGCUAUUAAUAGAACUUCUAAUAGCCAAAACAAAUGAUCUAAAAAAAGAUCUGACAUGACCAGGCUACCAAAGUCAUUGAUUAAAAUAUGAAUGAUUAUUUCUGAAUCGCCCUCAGUUUUGCAACAAUCAUUGCAGAUACAAAAUUGUCUAUCAUUUCUCUUUAAAUUUUUACAGCAUUUCCUUGUAAAUUGCAAAUAUAGCUCACUUCAUAAUUAUCAAUGGUAAACAUGCUGAAAAUAAGUGGAGAGGCUGUUUACAAGAUCACCACUGAACACAAGCAUAUGGUGCACAAUGAAAUCUAAGUUAUUAGAGGUGUAUUUACACAUACUGUAGGUCUUAGACAUGCCAGCCUUUUCUCACGAGCAAUCGCAACUACUGUAUUUUACAUAUUGUUUGAAAAGUGGCUAAUUUGUACAAAUUCAUAUGGAUUAUUUUUAAAAUCCUACAUUUUCAUAUGAUAAAGGGGCCCCAAACCCCAACCCUCAUUGUGGAGUGAGCAAAUUGUACUAAAAUGUACAAAUUAGAUUGUACAAAUGAAUAUGAAUAAGCCAAUAAAUUAAAAAGUUACCUAUUGCUGUGAGAUUGUGUUGGACAUGGAGCAUUUACAAGGACAGGCUAAAAAAAACAGCUUUCUUAAUUGAAUCCUGGGGCUUCUGUUUUGUCGAUUUGUCCUUGUCAGAUUGUCUUCCCAUUCAGAAUUAUGUAGCACGUCUUGACCAAAUCCGAUUGUGCUACCAUUGUAAAUUGUGAUCUGCAGCAGUGUGAUAUAAGACUGUAAUAUCACCCUAAUUCCUAACCUCGACUUUAGAAGCAUUCACAUAGUGGGCAGCAUAUUCUGAUGGAAAGGAUAAAUCGGCAGGACACUGGUGUUGUGAUAAUUCAUGCUAUCCAUUGUAUUGUGCUUCAAACAUUAUAUGUAUGGUUCUAAUGUGGAAGGGCGCUGACAAUUAUUACAAACUGAUCAUAAAUGAACAUAAUUAUCAUAACCCACUACACUGGCCCGUGUGUUGAUAUGUGUUACCAACCUACAGUCAUCAUCUGCAUUUAGCGGAUUGGUUGAUGAUUUCAAGCAAUGCAAAACAUUGAAAUGUAAACAUAUUGGAUAUUUAUAUUGUAAAUAUAGUGAAUGUAUUUGAUAUUUAAUUCAUAAAAAUAUUCAUCUUUAUUGUAAAUAUUGCAAAUUUUACAUUGUAAAUAUUGUACAAAUAUUUAUUUUAUUGUAAAUAUAUUAGUAAAUACAUUUUCUUUUUCUUC